UCUUUAACCCAGCAACAAAGGUCAUAGAGAUACUUAUCGCAUUACCGUGUCCAUUCAGGAUGCUUGCGACUGUAAUGUUUCUUUAUUCCAGUAAUGCCUCGGAUGUUGCGGCUCCGUUGAUGCAGUUGGAGCUUUUGCCUUUUUUUUUUUUUUUUUAAUAAAAUUUUGUGAUCUAUAUUAUUGGCAAAUAGAGUUUGCACAGUAGAAGAGAAGUGUGUCCCAUAUACAGCAAUCCAAAAAUGAGCCAA
rnacentral:lncRNA from 1 species